rnacentral:rRNA from 1 species
GACGAACGCUGGCGGCGUGCUUAACACAUGCAAGUCGAACGGAAAGGCCUGCUUUCCCUUGUGGAUUGCGGGUACUCGAGUGGCGAACGGGUGAGUAACACGUGAGUGAUCUGCCCCCAACUUGGGUAUAAGCCUGGGAAACUGGGUCUAAUUCCCGAUAGGACUGCAGGGUGGUGCCUGUGGUGGAAAACGAUUUUCUAGUGGUUGGGGAUGAGCUCGCGGCCUAUCAGCUUGUUGGUGGGGUAAUGGCCUACCAAGGCGGCGACGGGUAGCCGGCCUGAGAGGGUGGACGGCGACAUUGGGACUGGGAUACGGCCCAGACUCCUACGGGAGGCAGCAGUGGGGAAUAUUGCACAAUGGGCGGAAGCCUGAUGCAGCGACGCCGCGUGGGGGAUGACGGCCUUCGGGUUGUAAACUCCUUUCGACCGCGAGGAAGCCACCUGGUUGGAAGGGUGGUGACGGUAGUGGUAGAAGAAGCACCGGCUAACUACGUG